rnacentral:lncRNA from 1 species
AAACAGACCAAACUUUUAUGAAAGAGCUGGGGGAAAAAACAGAUUCAGAGAGCCUAUCUAUGUAUUGAUUUCAUUGUCUAGAAAGCCUGUUUAUAGUCCUGACUCUAUGCAAGGAUGAGUCCCAGGAUAACAUUUUUCCCUUUUUCACAUUGUGAUUUUUGUGCUGCAGCCCUGGGAUGAUGAAGCUGGACAAUCAAAGGAACAGAGGCUGCAGAUGCUGCAUAGAUGUGACAGACUGGAAUUUAACUUCUAAUGCAGGUUUAUUUAUCCAGAAGAUGCCUUUACAUUCCCGAAGGUCUGAAC